AAUAAAUAUUUCGUUAUAAUAAUAUGAUAUGUCAAAUAAUCCAAAUUGUUAAGUAAAUUUUUAUUUCUUAACAUUUAUGUGUGUAACAUAAUUUUUCUCUCUUCCUAGAUUCUGUUUCACCAGGCAAGAGAAGCUCUCCUAAAUCAACUAAAAUUUUCUCCUGUGAAUGGUGCGAUUAUUCUACAAUUAUAAGAUCUCAUUUAAAAAGGCACAUACUGAUACACACGGGGGAAAAACCUUUUCAAUGUUCAGUGUGUGGAAAGUGUUUUAAUCAAAAAUCCAUUCUUCAACGACAUUAUGUUGUGCAUAUGAGAGAAGUUGAGGUAAAUUGGUAAAAGGAUUGUAUUCAAAGAAAAAAAGUUUUUUUUAAAAGGUUUUAAACUAGUCACUUCAGAAGGGUAAUGCUUACUUUCAUGAUUUUACCUAAAGAUUUCUCAGGUUUCCAAGGCCUACUGUGGGAAAAUAAUCAGAAUUUUAAGAAAAAUUGGAAGACUUACUCUUGUGAAUAUUGUGACUAUACCACCUCAAGAAUUGGGAAUUUCAAACGUCACAAUUUGAUUCACACUGGAGGAAAACCAUUCUCUUGUCAUACAUGUGGAAAACGUUUUUCACAAAAGUCUAAUCUUAAAGUCCACAUGAUUGUGCACUUGAAGAAAAAAUUAACUGACUAUUAAAAAAGAAGCUUUUGUAAUUUAUGCUACUGAGUUGAAAGCGUAUGGAGUUCUUAAUAAAACAACGUAACUUAACUUUAAAAAAA